rnacentral:tRNA from 2 species
GGUUGAAUCGUAUAACGGUCAGUACACAAGAUUCUGAUUCAUUAGUUCUUGUAGCCUGGGUUCGACUCCCAGUUCGACCU